rnacentral:rRNA from 1 species
AGAACGAACGCUGGCGGCGUGGAUAAGACAUGCAAGUCGAACGGGAUUAUUUUUGUAGCAAUACAGAAAUAAUUCAGUGGCGAACGGGUGCGUAACACGUGGGCAAUCUGCCGAAAAGUGGGGGAUAGCUCGCCGAAAGGCGAAUUAAUACCGCAUGUGGUGAGGACGACAUCUUCCUGAAUACC